rnacentral:rRNA from 1 species
CCUACGGGAGGCAGCAGUGGGGAAUUUUGGACAAUGGGGGCAACCCUGAUCCAGCAAUGCCGCGUGAGUGAAGAAGGCCCUCGGGUUGUAAAGCUCUUUUGUCAGGGAAGAAACGGUGGUUCCUAAUACGAGCUGCUAAUGACGGUACCUGAAGAAUAAGCACCGGCUAACUACGUGCCAGCAGCCGCGGUAAUACGUAGGGUGCAAGCGUUAAUCGGAAUUACUGGGCGUAAAGCGUGCGCAGGCGGUUAUAUAAGACAGAGGUGAAAUCCCCGGGCUCAACCUGGGAACUGCCUUUGUGACUGUAUGGCUAGAGUGUGUCAGAGGGGGGUAGAAUUCCACGUGUAGCAGUGAAAUGCGUAGAUAUGUGGAGGAAUACCGAUGGCGAAGGCAGCCCCCUGGGAUAACACUGACGCUCAUGCACGAAAGCGUGGGGAGCAAACAGGAUUAGAUACCCUGGUAGUCCACGCCCUAAACGAUGUCUACUAGUUGUCGGGACUUAAUUGUCUUGGUAACGCAGCUAACGCGUGAAGUAGACCGCCUGGGGAGUACGGUCGCAAGAUUAAAACUCAAAUGAAAUUGACGG